GUUUUUUUUUUUUUUUUUUUUUUUUUUUUUUUAUAAAGGAGUGGGUCCUACAUAUAAAUAAAUCUAUUAAAUAAGUUAAGUUAUUUUGUUUUUUAGUAAGGGUAUUUUUGUCAUUUCACACCCUCUUAACUGAGAAAAAUAACUGAUGUUAGGCCUAGGGACUAUCCGGGAACGAAAUCGCAAAAGUUGGGGACGCUGCACUCUUACCCCCUGUCGUCGGUCAACAGUUGUUUGACUGUUAUAGAUCACAUGAAGGACUCCAAUCUGGAUCUGUUCGAUUGUAACAACCAACACCCCCACCACAACCAACACAAAUAUACAUUUGCAACAUCAGAUUGGAGGGUUUGUUUGGCAAUCAACGUGAUUCACCACCAUCUCCGACCACCACCGCCAUUCCAAUCGCUGGAUCUAUUGCAAACGUAUACCACAUCAAAGGACGGAGAAAAAGAGGAGAAAAAAGGUUGUAGCAAUUUUGAAGUAGAAGCUAAGUUCUUUUCACUUUUGGAGGAUCGUCUGCAAGCGAUGCUGCUGAGAUAGCUGGAUAGUAAUGUUUUGAGGAAUAUUUGUACUCAAGACUUGAAGUAUGUUUUGGAGUUGUGUUGCGUCCAAUUUUGAUAAUAGAUUCAUCAUAUCGAAUAAGGAUGGGGGGUUUAUGUUAUUAGCGACAAAGGCAAGAAGUUGUGGUAGAUUAGUUGCAGCAAGCAUGUCAAGAUGAUGAUCAGUUCUUGGUUGGUGCAUGACUGGAUCAAUUCCCAUUUGGAGUAACUUCUUCUUAAGGUGGGUGUUCCAAAAGUUCUUGAUCUCGUUAUCUGUCCUUCCUGGAAGAUGUGUUGCUAUUGCAGACCACCUAAUAAAAAUAAAAACCAUUCACCAUUUAUAUCUAUAACAGUCAAGAAGGUACGUAGUAGAGGAAUGACUUACUUGUUUCCAAGAUGUGAGUGGAGCUGGAUGAUGAGGUUUUCUUCAUUCUCAGAAAAAUUACCUUUCUUUAUAUUUUAUAUCUGGUCUAAGAUAAUUAGUCCAUCUCAAGCGACAACUUUUACCACACCUAUUUUGACCAGCAAGUGAAGGCAGUGCUCUCCAGCUACUUUUAGAUUGAUUUGAUUCACGUCUUAUUGAUUACAUAUGGAAUGGAGAAACGAAAAGUUGAUUACAUGAAUAUAUAUUCUAUAGUAUAAUGUCUGUUGUAGCUUUUUUGUUUUAGUCAUAUACCG